rnacentral:rRNA from 1 species
UAGGGAAUCUUCCGCAAUGGACGCAAGUCUGACGGAGCAACGCCGCGUGAGUGAAGAAGGAUUUCGGUUCGUAAAACUCUGUUGUUAGAGAAGAACAGCGCAUAGAGUAACUGUUAUGCGUGUGACGGUAUCUAACCAGAAAGCCACGGCUAACUACGUGCCAGCAGCCGCGGUAAUACGUAGGUGGCAAGCGUUGUCCGGAUUUAUUGGGCGUAAAGCGAGCGCAGGCGGUCAAUUAAGUCUGAUGUGAAAGCCCCCGGCUCAACCGGGGAUGGUCAUUGGAAACUGGUUGACUUGAGUGCAGAAGAGGAGAGUGGAAUUCCAUGUGUAGCGGUGAAAUGCGUAGAUAUAUGGAGGAACACCAGUGGCGAAGGCGACUCUCUGGUCUGUAACUGACGCUGAGGUUCGAAAGCGUGGGUAGCAAACAGG